rnacentral:rRNA from 1 species
GGGGAAUAUUGCGCAAUGGGGGAAACCCUGACGCAGCAACGCCGCGUGCGGGAUGAAGGCCUUCGGGUUGUAAUCCGCUUUCAGCAGGGACGAAGGGUUUCUGACGGUACCUGCAGAAGAAGCACCGGCUAACUACGUGACAGCAGCCGCGGUGAUACGUAGGGUGCGAGCGUUGUCCGGAAUUAUUGGGCGUAAAGAGCUUGUAGGCGGUCCGUCACGUCGGAAGUGAAAACUCAGGGCUUAACCCUGGGCCUGCUUUCGAUACGGGCAGACUUGAGGGAUGUAGGGGAGAACGGAAUUCCUAGUGUAGCGGUGAAAUGCGUAGAUAUUAGGAGGAACACCAGUGGCGAAGGCGACUUACUGGACUGUAACUGACGCUGAGGCGCGAAAGCGUGGGGAGCAAACA